GUUAGUUUUGCAGGUUUGCAUCCAGCUGUGUGAUGUUCUGCUGUGCAAAUCCAUGCAAAACUGA
ensembl:miRNA MIR19B1 microRNA 19b-1